rnacentral:rRNA from 1 species
AGAGAGAGACAUGCGCGCAUAUCAAUAAGCGGAGGAAAAGAAACUAACAAGGAUUCCCUUAGUAACGGCGAGGUGAAGCGGGAAGAGCUCAAAUUUGAAAUCUUCAAGGUUUUACCUUGACGAAUUGUAGUUUAAAGAAGUGUUUUCUGCUGAAGUUUUGGUAAAAGUUCUUUGGAAUAGGACAUCAUAGAGGGUGAGAAUCCCGUAUUUGACCAUUAUUUUCAGCUUUGUGAUACACUUUCAAAGAGUCGGAUUGUUUGGGAAUGCAGUCCAAAAUGGGUGGUAAAUUUCAUCUAAAGCUAAAUAUUGGCGAGAGACCGAUAGCGAAACAAGUACCGUGAGGGAAAGAUGAAAAGAACUUUGAAAAGAGAGUUAAACAGUACGUGAAAUUGUCAAAAGGGAAGCGUUUGACACCAGUGUUGUUUUUCUCGAAAAUCAAUUAAAAAUGGCUCGAUUUUGUAUUGCUUGAGACCUUAAAAGCUCACUGUACAUUUUUCGUGUCUUUUUUAAUGCACUUUUCGUUUAACAAGUCAACAUCAGUUUCUUUUGUUGUAAAAGGGUCAUUGGAAGGUGGCUUUCUUUUCGGAGAAAGUGUUUAUAGCCUUUGGCCUCUGCAAUCGGAGAGACUGAGGUCUGCAGCGUAGACUCUUCGGGGUUAGAUACAUUUGUGCUAAGUUAUAGCUUUUUAUAGACAACUUGUUGACUAUAAUUAGUCUUGUAGCUUACUCGCUUAUGCUAUUUUACCUACGCUUAGGAUGUUGAAGAUGUAGCACAUCAU